AACGCUGGCGGCGUGCCUAACACAUGCAAGUCGAACGAGAAAGUGGGAGCAAUCCCAUGAGUACAGUGGCGAACGGGUGAGUAACACGUGACUAACCUACCUUCCAGUGGGGGAUAACCUCGGGAAACCGGGGCUAAGACCGCAUAACCUCGUGAGGUGAGAUUCCUUGCGAGCAAAGGGGUAAGACGCUGGAUGAGGGGGUCGCGUCCGAUUAGCUAGUUGGCGGGGUAACGGCCCACCAAGGCGAUGAUCGGUAGCCGGCCUGAGAGGGCGCACGGCCACACUGGAACUGAAACACGGUCCAGACUCCUACGGGAGGCAGCAGUGGGGAAUUUUGCACAAUGGGGGAAACCCUGAUGCAGCAACGCCGCGUGGAGGAUGAAGUCCCUUGGGACGUAAACUCCUUUCGACCGGGACGAUAAUGACGGUACCGGUGGAAGAAGCCCCGGCUAACUCCGUGCCAGCAGCCGCGGUAAUACGGGGGGGGCAAGCGUUGUUCGGAAUUAUUGGGCGUAAAGGGCGCGUAGGCGGUGCGGUAAGUCUUCUGUGAAACCCCUGGGCUCAACCCAGGGCCUGCAGGGGAAACUGCCGUGCUGGAGUGUGGGAGAGGUGCGUGGAAUUCCCGGUGUAGCGGUGAAAUGCGUAGAGAUCGGGAGGAACACCUGCGGCGAAGGCGGCGCACUGGACCACAACUGACGCUGAGAGCGCGAAAGCUAGGGGAGCAAACAG
rnacentral:rRNA from 1 species